rnacentral:lncRNA from 1 species
ACUCCUGUUUUAACCAGCAUGAUUUCCAGCAGUUCUAAUACAUGUUUUUUUUUUUUUAAGAAAAAAAUUCACCCUGACAACAAACAGUUGCUUCUAUCAUUUCUGCCAUCAAAUAGUAAAGAUCUGACAGCUCUUCAGGGGAAGAGUUACCAAGGAGGUGAAGUUAGAAUGAAAGAAAUCUCAAAAAUUAAAUUGGAAAGAAAAAAAUGUAAAAAAUUUUAAC